AUUGAACGCUGGCGGCAGGAACACAUGCAAGUCGAGCGGAAACGACUUAACUGAACCUUCGGGGAACGUUAAGGGCGUCGAGCGGCGGACGGGUGAGUAAUGCCUAGGAAAUUGCCCUGAUGUGGGGGAUAACCAUUGGAAACGAUGGCUAAUACCGCAUGAUGCCUACGGGCCAAAGAGGGGGACCUUCGGGCCUCUCGCGUCAGGAUAUGCCUAGGUGGGAUUAGCUAGUUGGUGAGGUAAUGGCUCACCAAGGCGACGAUCCCUAGCUGGUCUGAGAGGAUGAUCAGCCACACUGGAACUGAGACACGGUCCAGACUCCUACGGGAGGCAGCAGUGGGGAAUAUUGCACAAUGGGCGCAAGCCUGAUGCAGCCAUGCCGCGUGUGUGAAGAAGGCCUUCGGGUUGUAAAGCACUUUCAGUCGUGAGGAAGGUGGUGUAGUUAAUAGCUGCAUUACUUGACGUUAGCGACAGAAGAAGCACCGGCUAACUCCGUGCCAGCAGCCGCGGUAAUACGGAGGGUGCGAGCGUUAAUCGGAAUUACUGGGCGUAAAGCGCAUGCAGGUGGUUUGUUAAGUCAGAUGUGAAAGCCCGGGGCUCAACCUCGGAAUAGCAUUUGAAACUGGCAGACUAGAGUACUGUAGAGGGGGGUAGAAUUUCAGGUGUAGCGGUGAAAUGCGUAGAGAUCUGAAGGAAUACCGGUGGCGAAGGCGGCCCCCUGGACAGAUACUGACACUCAGAUGCGAAAGGGGAGCAAACAGGAUUAGAUACCCUGGUA
rnacentral:rRNA from 1 species